CAUUGUCUGGGUUUCCCAGCACACGCAAAGCCCAAAGUUCAGUAAUCCUGUCAUCCUUCUGGGCUAAACCUGGAGACUGGGUCUUCUCAAACCAGCUCACACGAUGGGGGUUUUUCUUUGAACACGGCAGGAUUUGCACAGGGGGACCUCCUCGAAGAGUUGCCUACUACUGCCCCCUUGUUGUCUCCUCCUCCUCCUUCUCCUUCCUCCUCCAACCUGUAUUUUACCAGAAUGAAGGAGAUGAGAAUCUUCACAUAGUCUCACAAGGAAGACUCAGCUCACUAUGAAUGUUUCCAGCUGGGUUCUGUCAGCCUCUGUUCCACCAUAAAUCAUAUCUGCCUUCAGAUCCAAAGGUGCUAACUGAUGAAGCAGAAAUAAUGCAAUCUCAGCUGGCUUUGUGGCCUACUUACAGCACAGCUAUAGUAGGAAUGCAGACUGCCACUACGUUCUUCUGGAUAAUUCCAUAAAAAUGUUAUAUCCUUUCCAACUCAAUGUUUUGUAAUCCUUCCAGUUCCUGGGACUAUUCUUUUCACUGAAUAUAAAAAAAAAUGCUUACACUGCAUUAUUUUCAGUCAGAAAGAAAUACUGGAAAUUGAUCCAAUAUCCUAGCCAAGGAGGGAUGAUCCACAGUUUUAAAAGCAUUCACUUUUCAUCUUCUUUCUUACUAUUUGUGUUAAUACUGUGGUUGAACCUAAUGGUUAAAUAUUAUGCUUUAAAAUUAAACACCAGGUUCUAAGGCUUAAGACAAUAACUAUUAAAGACUGAACAAAACCUGAGGGGGUGAGAACAUAAAAUCAAUGCACACUUCUCUGUUGUAGAACUUAUGUACAAUAAUGUAUUCCUAUGUUUUAUAAAUCACUCUGUCUCUGGGAAUGAAGAAGGCAGAUUAAAGGCAGGGAGGUUUAUCUUACUCUUCUGUUGUUUCCUACUUCUAAACUCCAAGCUUAUAUAUGGGUCUUGGUCUUUGUCCCUUGUAUUUUGAGUUAAUAAAUGUUAUUACAUUUCCCACAAUUCUGCCUUUCCAUUUCUGAGCCCAGUUUUAGAGAGAAGGUAUGUAAACCAGGAUUAUUUUUAUUUUUGUCUUUUCCCUGCCUGUUUGGUUUGGUUUGGCUUAUCUUCUUUUGUGUG